rnacentral:misc_RNA from 1 species
AAAAAAAAAAAAAAGCUGGAUACCAUGUAGAAGAAAAAUAAUAUGGGAGAAAAUAGAUUUGGGACUCAAACCCUCGACUAAAAUGGAGGAGGAGAAUAUAUGAGAAAAAUAGCUUUGGGCUCAAACUCUAGGCUAAAAUGAAGAAGGUGAAUAUGGGAGAAAAAUAGUUUUAGGACCCAAAUCCCACGCUUUAAUACCAUGUUGAAAUUUAGAAUGA